CACUGGAGUUAUGUACCAGAAGGAUUAAGGCUGCCUCUGCUGAGUCAUGCAGGUUGUCAGGGAAGUCGGAGAAAGCUGACAGUCACUGGCCUCACCCAGCUCCCACGCAAACUGAAGGGCUGGUCUCACUCUCACCAUGCCCCCGUAACCCCAACAGCCCAGAGUCAGUUUUUAGGCGGAGGGUGAGAAUGGCUUGAAAAUUUGCUGAAUGCUAUCCAUCUCCCAGCCCCCAGAGAAAAGGGCUUUAGUUCCUCCCCCUGCCUGUGAAGUCUGCAGGCCAGAUUCGCGCCCUCCCCCGAGUUCUGGCCAGGAGGCUUCUUGCCCUGUUCAAAUGGUUACAAAGUUCAGCUAGAGAAUUCCUUCUCCCUGUAGAGUUUUACCCCCUGCUCCUCUGGCCGCCCUCCGGAUGGAUCUUUGUGCUGCCAGGCAGGAAUGGGCUGCUUGGGGACCCAGUGAGCUCCGAGGGCCUUUCUGCUGCUUCCUGUACCCCUGUAUUUCGCUCGGCUCUCUGACUUGACUCAGCUCCAGGAGGAAUCUGCAUAGAUUAGACGAAAAAGUUAAAAGGAGUAUGAAUGAAAAAACUACGUGUACAAGAUGUCCAAGAUGAACAAAACUAUACAAUAAAGUUCAUUUCAGUAUACAACAUGUAUUAUAUUCAACAA